rnacentral:rRNA from 1 species
GAUGAACGCUGGCGGCGUGCCUAACACAUGCAAGUCGAACGGGAACCUUGUGACGGAGACUUCGGUUGAAGAUGCAAGAAUUCUAGUGGCGGACGGGUGAGUAACGCGUGGGUAACCUGCCCUUAAGAGGCGAAUAACAGUGAGAAAUCACUGCUAAUACGCCAUAUGCUUACGGAAUCGCAUGAUUUUGUGAGGAAAAGAAUUUCGCUUAAGGAUGGACCCGCGUUUGAUUAGCCAGUUGGUAGGGUAACGGCCUACCAAAGCAACGAUCAAUAGCCGGCCUGAGAGGGUGAACGGCCACAUUGGAACUGAGACACGGUCCAAACUCC